rnacentral:rRNA from 1 species
GACGAACGCUGGCGGCGUGCUUAACACAUGCAAGUCGAACGAAGUGGCGCACGGGUGAGUAACGCGUAAUCAACCUGCCCUUCAGGGGGGGACAACAGUUGGAAACGACUGCUAAUACCGCAUACUUAAGGAGGGGAUUGCGUCAGCUUGGCUAGUUGGCGGGGUAACGGCCCACCAAGGCGAUGAUAAGUAGCAGGGCUGAGAGGAGGAACCGCCACAUUUGGACUGGGACACGGCCCAGAAUCCUACGGGAGGCCGGAGUGGGGAAUUUUCCGCAAUGGACGAAAGUCUGACGGAGCAAAGCCGCGUGAGUGAUGACGGCCUUCGGGGUGUAAAGCUCUGUUAAUCGGGACGCGGUACCGGAAUAGAAAGCCACGGCUAACUACGUGCCAGCAGCCGCGGUAAUAC